rnacentral:lncRNA from 1 species
GACAACUCUAGAAAUUGACUCUUUCGUGGACGGAGGGAGUACGACAAAUCUGUAGGUCACUCGGGCAUUCUUUUGCCCUUUGUCACUCGGUUCUCGCUCCCGUUCGAUCUGUUCUCCAAUCCAUCCACACCUUGUGUUGGUUUUGGUACAGCUGGUCUCCACGCGUGAGAAAAAGAGUAGCAGGCGCCUGUCCCCACAUAGGAACAAUGUAGGUCCCCAUGCUUAGGUGUGCACGACUGUAGGUUCCUGGUUUUUGAAGUGUUCAUGCUCAUUGUUUACUGCUAACAGGAAUUGUUGAGUAUAUAUGUUUUUUGUUCAUGUUUUGGUUUAGUUCUUAUCUUUUUUAUAGUAUCUAAUUGUAAUAUUUACAUUGAUUAUGUCAGUGUAAAUUUCUUAUAUUAUUGGUGUAAAUAUGGUUUCUUUAUCUGCUCUAUGUAAUUUGUGUGUAUUAUAUGUUUUCAAUUUGAAUUUCUUCCAAUUUGCCAUCUAUAGAAUUAAUAUGUCAUUUGACAUUUGCAUUUUUCUGCAAUAUGUAAUUUGUAUGUUUUCUUUGUUUUCAAUUUGAAUUUCUUCAAGUUUGCCCUUUAUACAAAUAAUUUGUCAUCUUUUCUUUUAAUUUGGUAUUUUUUCUGAUUUUUUGUUCCUUUUUUCCAUGGAUGUUUUCUUUUUUUUAUCUGGUCCCUUUGAUAUAGAUCUUGUAUUAAAUUUUGGGUACUUGAUUGUCUUCUGUCACAUUUUUUAUUGGAUGUAAGAUUCGAGUGUUUUAAACACUUAUCACCCGGGUAACAAGAGGCUUUAAAACACCUGAAUUUACAGUAGAUAGAUUCUUUUUAGUUUGCUUUUCAUAGUAUAGGUCUGAUUUAAUUUGUAUAUAUAUGAUUAUUUUUUUGUUUUAUGUUGGUUUGGCCUAUUUAUGAUGUCUUUUUUUUUUGGUAUGUUGAUUUGAGAUCUAGUGGUUUUGGAUUUUGUGUGACAGAAGCCCUAUAAUCACUUUGUUUUGGGGGUUUUGUUUGAUUUGGGUGAUAUUUGUUGUUUGGUCACACGGGUGACACAAGGAUAAUAAUCACCUAAGUUUUGAGUAGACAGACCCAUUUAAUAUGUAUGACACUCUCAUAAAACAAAAAUUGAAACUGGCCUAAUAACUAAUAAGAACUGAUGGUGCACCAUCUAAAUCUAUCACUUUGUCACGGAAAUAAGCCACACAUUCCGAUCCACACUAUGAUGUUAGGUAUUUGUACUGUUGUGUCGAUCGUCGCAUAUACAUAGCUUUCGACGAAAACCCGAUGCAGAUUUUAUACUUCUUUUUUGGAGCGGUGCAAUAAUAUAAUUCGGCUGAGUAGUUAAUUACGUCUAGCUGGUUUUCAUAUCGAUCGGACACGUAAAAGCAGCGGUGCGACGUCGCCAUCCUCCUAAGCAUCCACUUCCGGCCGGCCGGUAGCAUUAUGGGUCGCAUGAAGCAUGUGCCCUUUUGAUGCCCCGUCGUCUCAGCCGCGGAAAAUGCACGAGGAUAUGAAAAGAUAUGAGACUAUAGAGUUCGUGCAUUGCAGACAGACAGACAGGACGACGACACUAGACUAGUGGCAAGCACGAAUAUAUGGUCUUGUUUAGAUUCAAAAACUUGUAGCAUUUUCGGUUUUAUUUGACCAUCAUUAUCUAAUCAUGGAGCAACUAGGCUUAAAAGAUUCGUCUCGUAAUUUACAGGUAAACUGUGCAAUAAUUAGUUAUCCUUUUUAUCUAUAUUUAAUGUUCCAUGCAUGUGCCGCAAGAUUCGAUGUGAUGAAGAAUCUUGUAAAGUUUUGAGUUUUUAGGUGUAUCUAAACAAGGCCAUAAUCAGCCUAGGCGCCUAGCCUAGCCUACACACUGGAAUGCAUGCGUUGCGACCCAGAGAGAGUGGAGGCCCUGAUUAUGUGCCCACAUAGGCGGCAUAUUCCACUACUCAAAUCCAUCCAUCUCUCCAUCUGAAAAAGAUAAAGGUGACGAAAUAAAAAAGAGUCGACUACGACGAUGUGAUCGUUAUUAUUUAGGUCUCGGCGAUCUUCAGCCUAUGAAAUGAGAGCCAGGGCACCCAAAGUGGAAAAGACCACUACUCGCACCUGGUGGGCACCCCAUGCAUGCAUGCUUGGCUUACCUUUAUUUCUCCUCUGAGCUAGCACUCACUCACGACUAGAACGAACAGACCAACAAAUCUUGUUCGGGCCAAAAGUUGCUGCUGCCCAAAAGUGACAUGCGAAUUCUCUCAAAAAAGUGACAUGUGAAUGAAUGAAUAUAUAUAUUUGGCAUUGUGGCGAGCGAAUUAAUAAAGAAGACGGGUUGUUGCACAGCAGCAGCAGCAGUAGUAGUAGUUUGCAUUGCACCUUUUUACAAAGCUUGUGCAUAUGCAUUCAUAUAUAUGCAUUAUUCCCCACUUA